rnacentral:lncRNA from 1 species
AAAGAUAUCAAGGUCUGCAAAUUUAGACGUCGUUGCGAUAUUGGGUGCUUUCCGUGAGAUGAGAAACGGAGGUUAAUGGGGAGAUUGAGAACAGCUUUUCUUGCCGUCUCUCUCGUUUUUCUUGUUUGCGUUUCCGAGGAGAUUAUCUCUCGACGCGGCGCCAACCGCGGCGAGGCUCACGGUGGCGAUGAUGUGGUAAGUUCAUCCUCCUUGCUUCGUUUUCUCGUUUUAGAAACAAAUCAAGAACGCAUGGAGCAAUCUUUUUUUUUUGGCCAAAUACGUAUAUAUGAAGCAAUCUUCAUUUAGGUUUUUAUUUUGUGCAUAUUCAGACAACAUGUUUGUUAUUCCGACCACAAGUUUAUUAUUGACGAACGUGUUAUUUUUCUGAUAGGCAGAACAAACAUGGAUACAUUGUAGAAAAGAAUUGAAAGAUAAGAACAGAGAUUGCCUUAUCUAUAUCCCUCCUCGUGUAGCAGCAGCUAAUGAUACGUACCAGAAACUAUCCGUCUUAACCGGUUGGUUCAGCAACUGGUUUGGACCUCUCCUUGAUUCUACUACAAGCUAUCCAACAAGAAAGCUGAUCGGUAAGCAAAAGAGAAAGAAAAAGAAAAAGAGAAAGAAGUUUAGAGUAUCUGCUCCAAACUUUGCACUUGGUCCUGCACCAGGUUUUGCUCCAGGUCCUUCUCCCCGUUUCGCUCCAGGUCCUGCUCCAACAACUCCUCAGAGUUAUGACCUUGUUGCACCUUCAAGCUCUCCUUCAUAUUCGCCAGCUGAGGCGCCGGAUGAAUCAAGCUUUGGUGGUCCGACUAAGAAGAGAGCAAAGAGUAUUGUUGCUCCUAGUCAAAGUGUUCCAGGUCCUCCUCCUCCUCCACCACCGGAGAAGAAGAAUGAUAUCUUGAUGGAUCUUAUCAUCGCUGUUGCUUCAACCGCUGUGUUAACGUUUUUUCUAGUUGCAUUGCUCUUCUUAUGUUGCUUCAGACGCAACAACCGCAAAAAUGCGGUUGGUCCUAGAAAUGGACCAAGAGAUGAAGGACCACUUCUACAUUUAUCUGAUUUAUCAGCUGGUAAAUGAUGUUUUUUAUUAAAUCAAAACGGUUUCACGUUUUAAUCUUUCAAGAACUAUAACUAACUCUUGUUUUGCUUAUUUUUUUCUUUAGGAUCUAAUGAGAACUCUCCAAAGGUUGCAGCCACGAGUAGGAGAUUCUUCACUGCUACUUCUAAGAAGAGAUCGUUUCUGUCUAGAGUAUCUCUAAAGAGAAACCAUCAUGACUUCCCACCAGCUGAAGCGUCGUCAUCCUCUGGACUUCCUCUUCCUCCUGGAAGAUCAUCAGGAGCUCCUCCUCUUCCUCCUGUGGCUCCACCACCUCCACAGGCUCCACCACCACCUCCUCCUAAAUCUAAACCUCCUCCUCCUGCUCCUCCAAAACUUGUGCGUCCUCCACCUGCACCACCAAAACGUCAAGGACGUAGCUCCUCUGGAGAUGGUUCUGACGUUGAUUCGGAGACCGGAGCUCCGAAAACGAAACUAAAACCGUUUUUCUGGGAUAAAAUGGCUAACCCUGAUCAGAAAAUGGUUUGGCAUGAGAUCAGCGCCGGUUCAUUCCAGUUAAGACUUUAAUUAUAACUUUUAAAACCUUUGUUUCUAGAACUUUGCCUAACUCGCUUUAUGCUUUUUAGGUUCAACGAACAGGAGAUGGAGUCUCUUUUCGGUUACAAUGAUGUGAACAAAAACAAGAAUGGUCAAAGAGGAGAAUCAUCUAGAGACUCUCCUGUUCAAUAUAUACAAAUCAUUGAUCCAAGGAAAGCACAAAACUUAUCUAUUCUUCUCCGAGCUUUGAAUGUAACAAUAGAAGAAGUCGUUGAUGCCAUCAAAGAAGGUAACGAGCUCCCAGUGGAGCUUCUCCAAACAUUGUUGAAGAUGGCUCCAACUUCAGAGGAAGAACUCAAACUUAGACUAUACUCGGGAGAUCUUCAUCUACUUGGCCCUGCGGAGCGAUUCUUGAAAAUUCUUGUUGAUAUACCUUUUGCGUUUAAACGUAUAGAGUCGCUUAUAUUCAUGAUAUCGCUUCAAGAAGAAGUCUCUGGCAUCAAAGAAUCACUCGCAACUCUCGAAGUAAGUCCACAAUUACACAUGACUUGCCUACUAUGUAUUUUAAUUUGAGUAGUGUUUAAAUCUAAAUACAAUUCAAGGCAUUAUUACAUAGAUUUUAGAGUUCACCAACUUUAAAUUAUCUUACAAUUUUAAAAUUUGAUGGAUUGCAAAAUAUUAAUAAUUUAUUUUAAAUCAUUAAUUGAAUAGUAUUCUGUUUUUUUGUUUUUUGUUUUGUUUCAGGUGGCUUGCAAGAAACUUAAAAACAGUAGACUGUUCAUAAAACUACUAGAAGCAGUUCUCAAGACAGGAAACAGAAUGAAUGUCGGAACUUUCCGCGGUGACGCGCAAGCUUUCAAACUCGACACGCUCUUGAAACUCUCUGACGUCAAAGGAACUGAUGGCAAAACUACACUAUUACACUUUGUUGUCCUUGAGAUCAUUCGUUCUGAAGGCGUUCGUGCUCUUCGCCUCCAGAGAUCAAGCAAAAGCUUCUCCAGCGUUAAAACAGACGAUACCAACACAGACACAAGUCCACAGUCUGUUGAACGUUACCGAAGCACUGGACUUCAAGUUGUUUCGGGACUAACCACAGAGCUUGAAGAUGUCAAGAGAGCAGCAAUAAUAGACGCUGAUGGAUUAGCUUCAACACUGAUGAACCUAAGUGGCUCGUUGACCAAUGCGAGGGAGUUUCUGAAGACGAUGGACGAAGAGAGCGAUUUCGAGAAAGCUUUAACUGGGUUCAUAGAACGUGCAGAUGGUGAUAUCAAGUGGUUGAAGGAAGAAGAAGAGAGGAUCAUGGUGUUGGUGAAAAGCUCUGCUGAUUACUUCCAUGGCAAAUCUGCCAAGAACGAAGGGUUGCGUUUGUUUGCUAUAGUGCGUGACUUCUUGAUAAUGUUGGAGAAAGUUUGCAGAGAAGUUAAAGAAACAACGAUGAUGACAUCCAGCAAAAAUCAUUCGAGUAAGAAGGAAACAAAGAUGAUUCCGGAAAGUAAUCAACCGGAUAACAUUCGACGGCAUUUGUUUCCGGCCAUUGCUGAACGGAGAGCUGACAGUUCGGAUGAUUCAGACAGUGACUAGGAUGGAAUAAGCAAAGCAGUUCGUUAUGUUAGUUUUUGUAUUAUGUUGUAUCAUUUCAGUUUCAAGUAAAACACAAACAAAAAAAAGUAACUUACAAUUUGUAUUUAUGUAUAAUUCUGUUUUUGUUUGUGCCCAGCUUUAUAAAAAUAGAUAGAUAGAUGGUAGGAACAAGAACACGAGAGCUUUUGUUACUAAAAGAAGAGAUACAACCUAGUCAAAUGAUUCUCCUCUAUGAAAAUUAUGUGAGCCUAAUCUAACAAGAAUAACAAUGGUAUCCUAACCCAAAGUUAUUGUUAAAUUCUAAAAAUCACAUAUAUGGUAAAAAAGCUAUACAUUAGAAUGAGGGGAAAGCUUGAGAGACUCCUUGCAGUGAAUGAGUAAGAGACUAUUUAUAGUAACUGUGUUGCCUCCCCCUCGCUUUCCUAGAAAAGAGAAAGCUUCUGAAUAAUAGAGGUUUCCUUUCCUUUUUUACCUAACUAUCCCAUGUCGCUUGAAAGACAUGCCUUCUGUUUUUGAGCCACUGCAAUAAUUCUCUAUCUAGUGACGAGUUGUUGACUACAGCAUCGAACAUCGGGCUUCCUAAUACUCCCAAGGUGCUUUUGAACAUCCAUAUUUUGUCCUUUGCCCAUGGCUUUUGAGGUUGCUUUGACUGUACAAAAAUAAGAUAAAAAUUUUAAAAGAUCACUAUCAUGGACAAUGGUGACAAAUGAAUAGCAUUUCGGAAGUGGGUCAAGUAUGAAGAGAUUACCAUCUGUGAAACCAUUGUUUUCACCGUCUUUGGGCCAUAAACACGAUGCUUUGAUGGCUUAUGAGCCUUUGCGUAGAAGGAAGCAACUUCGGGUAAAGAGAGGCAACCUCUGGUUGCUUUCACCAAUGUAAGAUCAGGAUCAGUAUUUGUCUGUUCAUACCAGUAAAUCAGCUGGCCGAGACAAUAGUUCUCGCCAUAUGUUUUCCGGUACUCCUUUAUACCCUCGCCUAACUUGUCCGCAUAUUUGGCCCCCAAAUCUAACGGGCUAAUUUGUACAGGAGAAGACAUAAAUGACUUGUAUUCCUGCCGACCAUAUCAAGACCCAUCUGUCAGUAGAAGUUUAACAAGACUUUGUCUUCUUUUAUCAUCCAAAUCAUACGAAAUAACUUACCCGAACUUUGAAAAAGCACUUUGUAUAGGCAUAUAUGUGAAUCAAAUCAGCUGCAGCAUCAUUCCGACACUUGUAUGUACAAGGUAGAUCUCGGACCUCAUCUCUCAACCUUCAUGGAAGAAAAUAUUCUUUGAUGUAAGUGUACAGUUUCCUAAAAGUACAAUGUUUCAUGCAUAUUGAUGCACUAACCAAAGUAAUGAUCUUUGAAGAUCCUUAAGGACGUCUGCAGAUCCAGAUGGAUCAUGGGCACGAAUCUUGGAUCUGAGUUCAUCAACAAUGCCCUCUUCCACGUGUGGCGAAAGGCACUGAAGGAUCUCCUCAACUAAGGAGCCAUCCCCGUUCCACAAAAAAGAGACUGUUUCUUCAGGAGUAAGCUUCUCCAGCGGAGGAGGAGCGUUCUUUGGAUCCCCAAACACACGUCUCAUAACAUAUCUUACCUGUGUUAUAACACUAAUUAGAGAAACUUCGAUUGGGAAAAAAUAUUUUACAAGCAAUUGCACAAAAAAUUUGAAACGCAACGCAGAUAACACGAUGUUUGGUUAUAUGAUAUGAAGAGAGAUUGCAGUCACCUUGUCAAGUGUGACAGCCAAAUUCUGAAGCCUCUGGUUGUAGACACCCUCAGCCUGUAUCAUCAAAGUUACAGAUAUAAUAAAGCAUAUAAAAGCUGGAGAAAAAAAUCAAAACCCAGCACAGAGUUCCAAAGCACAAAAGACAUGAACUAUUGAAAGAACCCGCAGAAAGGUAAAAAGGAAUGAUGUUCUGACCUGAACCUCAGCAUCACUUUUCUCAACAUCAAGGUGUAUGUCUGAAAAAUAUUUUCUCUUUUCUUCCAUAUUAUGCUUAAGAAUUUCCUCUGGAAGCUUAGUUCUCUCGAAAUUGAUGAACCGCACCUUUAUGCAGAAGAAACUUUCUGUCAGAAGCUGCACUCCCAUCAAUAGUGCUGCUAUAAACUAACAUAAAAUGAUUCAAGACUAACCAGAUGAGCAGAAUACGCAAUCACCCAAUCUGGCAGCCCACCAAGCAUACAACUUCCCAGUCCAGCUCUUCCCAACUCAAGAUAAUCUUCUUCUGAAACUGAAUUCAGUAUACAAGCUUCUAGCAUCAGUCUAUGUCGAUCCAGCAGACCAUGCCAUUCCUUCAACACCUGUUAUAUACAUGGUUCAGAAAAUUAUAUAGACAAUCAAAGGACAAAAGAAAUGCUUUUUAAACUUCGGUACAAAGACACUAAUUACUCAUUAGUGAACAAGCACACCAACCUCUGUCAUUAACCUUGCGUAUCUUAAUACCAGUUAAUAAUCAUAUAUAUGUUAACAUCACAAUUACCUUCUGAAAUGCACCUUCACCAGUGAGAUUCAAGUAGCUGCCUCGGCAUACUUGGCUACCACACAAGCAGACAGAAGCUUCAUAUUCUUCCUUACUCUGUUGCAGACAUAAAUAUCAUUCUUUUAACAGUAGAAUGGGAACAUAAAGAUUAAGAAGAGAGAGGGAAGAACAGACCUCAGUUACAGAAUUAUAAUCAAAAGUUAUCUCCUCGCCGUAUUCAAUCGGACGUACUGAAUAGAUGCCAAUCUGGUAGUGUCCAUCCACCGCAGUAACCCUGGAAGCACCAGUUGGCAAAGACGGAAAAUGAGUAACCCGUUUAAACUUGUUAUUAGGUAGGAAGACACUCAAGUAUCAAGAGUUCUCCCCUCCAUUUUUUAUUUUUUAAAGCAUGGACGCAUAGGUAAAAGGACGAGUAUUGCCUAAUAUGCCUACGAGUAGAGCAGAUAUCAUAAGCAAAUGUUGGUAAGUGUAUCCACAAAAUUUUAUAUCUAAGAAAUUUAUCUGUGUAUGUAUUGAUCUGAGCUUACUUAAGCAGGCUAGUUUAUGCAUGCAACAUGAAUGAAACUAAAUUAUUACAAUGGUCACGUGGUUCUACUCUCUAAACAAAAUUCUGGAAAAUUGGAUGAUUGCGGAAUUUAACUUACUUAGCUUCACAGUUAGGUCGGCAAGAAUGACAAAUUCGACUCGCAUAAUUAGCCUUGUGCAUGGCAUCAACAACAACUAAAUCAUAUCCAUCAGCGUCACCCUGCCAGUAACAUAACAACAUAAAAAAUAAGAAAAUGGUCUAAUAUAAUAUAUACAAGCCCAAUCAUCAUAUUUUCUUCAUACCUUCGGUCUCUCAAGAUAGAUAUUGUAAAACUCUGGUGCAGGAUCAGUUUUGUUUUCCUGCAAGGAACGAAUUCCAUCUUGCUUCUCAAACCACUUCCAAACAGGAUAAACCUACAAUAUCCAAAACAUACGUUCAGAGCUCCCUUCAGAGAAUGUUUCAUAUCCAAGAACAGCACGCCCAGUGAAUUUCAGAAAUUGUGCAGCUGACUAACUACCAAACAUAAAACUGCAAAGCUGCAAACCCACCUCUCCAAGAAAUUCAACAACAAAAUCGUCUUCCACAAAACCACCUUGUUUGUUGCAAACAACACCGAGGCCCUACAAAGGCAAAAAAGUAGCAACAAGAUAGAUUAACAAAAACAGUCCUAAAUAAAUUGAUGGAUUUCUAUGAAAGAAUGACAGAGCUCUAUACCUUCCGAUAAGACACAUAAUUAUCACCAGAACGACUUUCUAUAGCCUUUAAGACGCCUUGACACAUUUUCAUUGUUUGUAUAUCACACUCUUCACGAGCAUUCUCUUUGAGCUCUUCAAUCACAGGUCUUAAAGGGAAUACCAUGGGGGUGUUUCCAGAUCCAGUGAGAAACCUGACUUUCCUGUUCAGGGCACGUAAGACUACAUCUUCUAUAAAUGAAUGUUUAUCCUGCAGUGACCAGUCCAAUUCUCCGGGCAUUGAAUCAAGUAAGAGGUUAUGGGUGUAAGGAUCGAUUCCAUAAACCUCUUGCUCUAAAACCUCGUUGCCAAGAAGCUUUCUUGGUUUAUACUCCUUGACUUCAGGAAGCUCCAUAUCUAACUCUUCAAUGCCAUUUCGUUGUGCAUUCAGCUUCUCAUCAUAGUCCUCUGGCAAAGAAACCCGCAUCUUUCGUUGUACCUCCUCCUCGUCAGCGACAAUCGUGUACUCUUCAAUCAGUUCAUAUUUCCUUGUGACUGGUGGCACAAGACUAGCUUUGGUCAUACGUGCACCCCAUUCACGCUCUUCGGUCACAGAAUCAAAGGAUUCGUCUGCUGUAAAAUAUUUUUCAACACGUGAGUCCUGUGAUCGACCUUCUGAACGGAUAUCCGAUUCGCUUUCUGAAGCUGAGCUGUAAUUGUCAUUGUCAGAUAGCGCGGAAGAUGUUUCACUUCCCGAACCAAAUGAUUUACGAUUCAGUUUAGACAAACGCCUUUUGAUUUCGCGGUCAGAUGCAUAUUCUCCGUAGUCCAGCGCACCAUUUACACCAAAUGUGUCACUCGUCCUGCUCAUGUACUUCUUUUCAGUUACAGAUUUGCUCAACUUCUUGUUGUACUUAGAGGCUGAUGACAACCCUGAGCCAUCUUGCCACGACUUCAUCAAUUCAUCUCUUCUAUAUGAAGAAGUAGCCAUAGAGACCUCUUCUAAACGUGUGGCAAGUUGGAUAAACAGUAUGAUGAUUCGGUUCAUCUCUUUGGAGUCUCCCCGAUUCCUCUCUCUGGAUAUAAGAUAGAAUCAGAAGAAAUUUUACAAAACUAGUAUUAAGGAAAGCAAUAAAAACAGCUCCUACCUUUACUUAAGAACUAGGAGUCUAGGAAUAAAUGUCAAAAACAAGUAAUCCUACAUCCUAACAAACUGAGGGCCAAAAACCAAGCACAUGGGAAGAAAGCGGUUAUUGACUUGAGAAAUUAUAACCUAUAAUCCAGAAAGGACAUCAGCAGUCGUUCAACAUAUUGUUUGGCAAGUAGAAUCUUCAUAGUUACUUAUUUAUAAUUUGCAAGUCAAUAUUUGAAGUAUUAUUGGCAUAAUCAUGUACUAAAGAAGCUACCCAAAGAAAGAGGAAGGGAGCCUUACUUAAUUGCUUCCCUGCACAUCCGGCUGAUAUCCUCCUUGACAGAUUUCAAACCAUGACUAACGUAGUAACCGUUUUUCAUUUUUUCCUCUAUAUGAGCAACCUAGUAACCAAAGACACAUUAGGAUUAACUUUAACAAAUGGUAAAGAAAUAAGAGCAGACAUAAUAUACAGCAUACACGAAUACCAGAAAGCACCUUUAAAUCAAAGAAGUCAAAAGUAUUCUGCUUCAUGAUGCCCCUAAGGCUUGAAGAAAGGAAUUCCUCCACUCUCUUAUACCCGUGUUCUGACUUCUUAAUCGCCCAUCGCCUGAUACGAGCAUCCCUGGAUAGAAUUGCCGAUGAUUUCCGUGCAUCAUACAAUUUUGAGCGUUUGUAUAAGCUUCUUCGGAAUAACUGAUUGGCUGAGUCUCGCUUUUCCACUCGAUCAAAGUAAUCCUUAAGGUUACCAAAAUCAUCUGUAUCUCCUCCUAAUUCCAUAGACUUAUUAACAUUAGUCUGUUUCAAACUCCUUGACCUGGAAUGCAAGUCACCUGGUCCAGGAUGCUGGCAUUUGAGCCAACUUACUUUUCUAUAUUUCAAAGUCAAAUUUCCAAACUGGGAGCAGCCUGUGAUGUCUAUAGAAGAUAUAUGGGGAAAUAAACGAAGAAUUUCCUCAAGCAUGCUGGAAGUCACGUUUGUACAACCAACCAGAAUAAUAGAAUCAAUCUUCUCCGUGUUGUAAGUGUUCUGCAAGAGAAUGUCAUAUCAGAUCAAUUAAAAUACUAAAUUUUCUAAAAUACUGUAAACGAAAAGUACAGAGUGCUCACCAUGAUACUCCAGAGCCUAGAAUCUGUGCAGUUGGGACCCAAAGAAGAUAAGUCAACUUGUCUUGAAAUAUCCUUGUAUGAACUAACAAUGGCCUUCCAGUGUCUACAAGUCAUGGACGCAAAUGCAAGUGAUUUUACAUCAUAUCUCAGCAAAUGAAACACCCGUGCUAACACGUGACCAUCUAACAAAUCCCAGUACAUCCCCACGCUGCCAGAAGAUCCACUUCCUUCAACAUGGAAAGUAGCGUCCCCACAUAAAUCCUCAAAUGUCGACUCAUCCUUCUGAAAUAUUUGUGCAUCUUUCACUUCAGAAUGGUCUCCACUUUCACCAGCCAUCAAUCGAACUCUUUUCGUAUAUGAUGAUGAAUCAAAUUCUGAGGUUUAUGAACCAAAAACAAAAGAGAGAAGAGAACAAAUGUUUAAACAUACGAAAGCAGGAACUGCACAGUGUUAUAACCAGAAGAGAAUGAAGAAACAAAGGAAAUAGCCACCCAAGUUCAGAAACCGAUAAUAACUUGAAGAAAAGCAUGAGCUAAUAAGACGGAUGGGGUGGCAUUUAAGUUCUGGUAGUUAUGCAUACCUGAAUAUGGGUGCAUGUACUUGCCAGUCUCUUUCUUUGGCUGUCUUGCAUGAAUCCAAGAGUCUAAGACAUCGUUUAUGGCAGCAGAAAAUUCCCGAGUCUUGUAUGUUUUCAUAACCAAUUGAUGGAGUUUCCCACGGAAAUAACCAAGAAACUGAGGAUGCAUAGCAUGGAACGAGCUUAGACUUGUGUCCAUUUCAGAAUGCUUGAAAUCCUGCGACUCUGAGACAUCAAGGCUUUGACAAUCUGAAGGCAGAACUGGGGCUUUCCCCUUGCCACUGAUUUCAGAAGUUUUUGUGAUAGAAGUAACAGGUACCCAAAUUUUGUCAGAUUUCCUGAAGACACUAGUGUGGCGCUUUAUUAAACCUUUAGCAACCAAUAUCUGGAGCUCCGAAAAUGGCAAAGGUCCUUGUUCUUGCCCAGAACCAUCCAUGUAGAACCAAUCACCCAAAUGCAAUUGCAAAUCAUCGACUGUAAACAGACGAUCCCCAGGGGUGCUAACAGAUGCGUCAGUUCUCCAAAAUCCCUGCAUAUCUUGACUACCGCAAGCUGAUGACUGAGAAAUACUUUCGACGGAUUCCCUCUUGGAAUCACUAGAUGCAGGGGAUGGACGAGCAUGCCUUGAAGAGAACUUUUCCCCACCACGAACUUUUACAAGGGGAUCAGGAACUGAUGGAACUUGAUCAUUAACGACUAAUGAGUUAAGCCUAACUACAGACAGCACACUAGCUUUUACUCCCCUCGCCUGAUUUCUCUCAUCUACACCAGAAAAAGCCCACAGGGGAAGUUCCAGCCUAGAGCGGCUGCGAGGAUUAUACAAAUCAUCCUUGUGAUGCCAGCGAGGAUCCUCAUACCCAGACUUCUGCAUCAGGCAUAAUGGGAAACCAUCAUUCAGAACCAUUUUCUUUUUGUAAUCUCUAUCUUGAAAAGCUUCAUCGUGUCUUAUCCAGUCCCCGCCUGUGCAAGACCAACGACCUGAAAACCAGCUGCCUAUCUCAUCGCUCUCAGAACAAUCAACAUUUUCUGACUUCGAUUCUUCGAUGGCCAUUGCCUUGGGCUCUGAACGUUCCCACGACUCCUCAUUUAAUAGCAACUGAUUUACCACUUGAUAGUAGCACCAGAUGAUAUCUGCAAAUGCCAGAGUAGAACUUCUAAAUAGUGUCAUGCAAAACAUGUGGAUAAAUUUUUAAAAAAAAAAACAUGUGAAUAAACAAGAAGCUAUGAUUACUAAAAGUUGAUGUCGUCUAAAUGAAUAUCCAUGUUCAUGCACAAACCAUCAUAUGGCAGUAGACGGCCAUUACGUCUUUAACACACAUCAACACUUCCAAAUACUACAAACGAACUAAUAUAAAUAUAGAUGACUAUAUAAUAUCUUAAGUGAAUAUAAACGCUUGUAUCGUUACGUUUUCUGAUAGUAGAAGUAGGCCAAGUUAGGAAUAUAACUUGCCUGAAAGGAGGAGAAGCAAAUAGAGAAAAAAAUCAUAUCAUGCUAUAGAAAAAGUGCAAGUGGUGCCAACGAAACAUACCUUCAGAACUCACAAACCUUCUCGUCUCUUCAAGCUCAACUUUAAUCUGCACAGCUUCUGCAAAGCGAUAAAAAUAAGCCUAUCUUAGGUAUGGCAUAGAAGCCCCAUGGUGCAAUAAACUAAAUGUAUUAAGAAAAAUGCUUCAGAUAUUUGCUAGCAUUUUUGGCUGAAAACAUCAAAUUUCUGGCCGGAAAGAUAAUAUUUUACAUCUACUACAGUACCUCCAAGUGUUUCAAGUUCCCUGCCAGGGAUGAUAGUAUAGCCAUCCAAGAGACUCGCGAUCCUGUUAUCAAACUGGAAAUCUUCAUGAUGGCCCACUACAGUAUCAUUACUAUCUGGUAUGGACAAUGAUUCAGGCAAGGAAUCUUCAGCUCCUUGCUCCAUAUGAACUGCUUUGACAGCAUCUGCAAUAUCUUCUAAUAAAUUACCAGGCGCUUCAGGAGGAUUCACGAGCCGUGUCACAGCAUCUGACACGAUUGAUGGAAUAUUUAUGUUGACCACAGGAGAUGUUGCAUUUUCAAUAGUGACCCACCUAUUAUUAUCUGAAUGUUUAAUCAUAUGGUCAGAGAAAAGAAUGCCUUGCUCCACAAGAGCUUUAAGCUCGGAUAACUUUGCAGGCCCAUGUUCAGUGCCAUAGUAAUCAAGAUAAAACCACUCCCCCAAGGAUGAAUCUGCCGCCAUAGGCUCCUCGUGAGGUGGUGUAUCACAAAUGUCCAUAUCUACCUCCAUCGAUGGCAACUCUUCGGUAGUUGCUUCACCAACUAGCACAGACUCUUUUCCCUUUGCACACGCACUUGGAAUCUUGGAAGAAUCACAUACAGAAUUUUUCUCAGCCACCGGAUUAUUGUUAUUCAAAAUGUUUUUACCUUGCAAUUCUUUUCUUGAUGGAGACGACUCUUUUCCAUUAGAAUCCCUAUGCCUUUGCUUAUUCUCAAGCUCCAUACCAGUCUGAGAAUCCCUCCUCUCCCUAACUCCACUCUUUCUGCUUAUAUCUCUAUGGCCAUUACGUCUGGUACGAUCGCUCUGGGGAUCUUCCAUAUAUUUAGAAGUUCCGUCGCGGCGAUCACCGGACCAUUCAGAGUAACUUGGACUUCUUCUAUAAUCAUGGUGAUGGCUGCGGUCAUGUGGAGACCUUUUACGAGCAUGUGAAGGCUUCUCAAAGAUAUAUGGCGAUCUCUCCCGGGCAUAUGGCGACCUUUCCCGAUUGUGGGAACUUCUAUCCCUGUGGCCAUGGUACCUAGACCGGUCAUGUGGGGACAGAUCAGAUCGUGCAGGGCUGUGUCCAUGUCUGUCUGAAACAGCCCUGGCAGGGAAAUAUGAGUCUUGAUGCUUUUUAGGAUACUUUUCCAGAGAUGAGUGUUUUGAUGAAUAGGAAUCUCUGUAGUCUCUCUCAACAGAGUUCCGUGAAUAGUGGUCUGGGUGAAGAGAGCGGGAACAAUCAUCAGAAAGUUUUCUAUAUUUGGAGCUCCCAUAGUCCCCAUUAUCCGCAUAAAGAUGUUUGCGCUCAAAACUAUCCGGUUCAGCUCCAUGUCGCUUCAGUUUGUUCACAGUAGAAGAGUACUCUUUCCCAAGAUUAUUGGGAUCGUUGUAUUCGUUCUUAUGUAAGCUUUCCUCUAUUACAAUUUUAGAACUGACUCUCGUAGCUCUGUCAUUCCCACUUCUGAACUCUCUCCGGCGAUAGGUAUCCUCAUUCAAAAACCUCCCGCCGGGCGGGGUGCGUUCAUGUUCAUAGUCAUAAUCAUAUUUCCACGUUUUCUCUCUGUCAACUCCAUUCCUACGAGAUCUGUUGUAAGUAUGAUCAUCCUUUACCGUAUCCAUCUUAUGCCAUCUGUCUGGAAUGAACUCCCCCUUCUCAAUUUCAUUACCGGGAUCUCUCCAUGAUCUGAUUUCUCUCUCUUCUUUCCUGUACUUAUCUGCGGGUAAAUCCCUUCUCUCCACAUAAGAUUUAUCAUAUUGCAGGUUACUGCAAUCCCCAGAAAUCUCCCCUUUUUCAAUCUCAUUAUUCCGCAGUGACUUCACUGGAGAAAUCUCACCGGUCUCCAAAUCCCCAUGAGAAUUUAAUGUACCUAAUUCACCCUCUUCCACUUCAUCCUUAAACCCAGAAUCUCCACCGUUUUCUUCUUUAUUGCUACUUUCUCCUCCUUUUCCUUGCAAAAGUUCACUCUUUUUAUCCUGCUCUUUCUUCAGGACCUGUGAUUCUCCAGAAAGUUGCACUACCUGAUCUUUCGGCUGCUCUUCUGCUUGUUUCUGAGGCUGCUUGGGCUUCCUCCUGACAACUUUACGAAUAACCUUAACAAUUUUCUUCUUCUUAGGUGGCUGAGACGCUGAGGGUUUAGCUGGCUGGGACUCCGGAAGCUUAUCACUAGUUGAGAUUGAAGUGUGACCAUUCUCGGGAACCUUGGUAUCAAUGUUGCCUCCACAAAGCGUCUUCUCUGGAAGCUUGUCCAUGAUAUUCAGUAGAGGCAUGCAUGUGGCGACACCCCCAUCGCUCAUGGAAACAAAGCUUUUCUCAAGUCCCGGGGAUAUCAAUACUCAUGCUUCAGAACAUCCACCGCCAAAUUCAAGAACCUGUACACACCCAAGAAGCAAUCAGUGGCGAAAACUGAAUGUAGGGUUCUGCCCAGAGCGAGAAUCUGGAAACCCUACGGAGCCAAAUUGAUGAAAUUAGAGGAGACGAUGAGACGGGAAGACAGCGAAUUGAAGCGGGGAUUAUACCGGGGAGGGUAAGGAAACGUAGCGAAGGGGAUCAAAAAAACCCUAGAAUAGAGCUGGGAGGAAGACGAAGGAACGUGAGAAGGAUGAGAAAUUUCUGGAGAAUAAGAGAUCGAGGUCAAAGAAGACGAAUCGAGAAGGAAACCCUAGAAAGCUCUCGCUAAAUCUUAAUCUGGUUGUUCCCGUUUCGCCGGAAAAUCACCGUUGCGGCGUGUGUUCUUUCUCUCUCUGCGACCUGCGCUUCUCUUCUGAAUCGUUGUGUUCUCUCUCUCUCUCUCUCUCCGUUAUGUUUUCCUGAAAGAAGAAGCCGUCGUGUUAAUAUUUUAUUUUCUGUGUAUUUAUUUAUUUAUUUAUUUUUAUUUUUUAUAUCACCGUUUUCACCUUGACUAAUUUAGUUAUGAAAUUGCUAAUAGUACGAUUUAAUUUAUUGGUCAAAAGUAUAUUAGUAUGCAAUGGUAAAAAUGGUAAUUAAGAAUAGCUGUGAAUUGUAUUUGUAAAAAAUAGGUCCAAACACAUUUUGAAUGAUGUUUUCAUUGUAGUACAACGAGUGAAGUUUUCGUUAAUUUUGUUCUUAUAUAAAUAUUUGUUUUGAAAAAUAAUAAUUUCAUUAUAUGAACUUAACUUAUUAUUGAAUAUAUUAUAUUAUUAUAUAAUGUGCAAUAAGUUAAUAAUCUACUAAAAUAUUAAAUAUAUUUUUUCAACUGUAUGGUUGAUAAAAUCACAAGUUAUUUUCUCAUUCUAAUUCCUUUUAAUACAUUUCUCAAAAUGUUUUACUUAUCAUAUUUCUUCCUCAUAUUUUUUUCUAGUUUUCUUUCAUUGGGUUUUAUAGAAAAAUUCAACAGUAAAAAAUAGAAAAUAAUAUUAAAAUGAUAAUUAAAAGACAAAAUAAUGAAAAUACUUUGAAUAGUAACACUUAUUAAAACACUUCUCAAGAGUUUUUAUCUUUGUCAUUUUUUUUUUGUCACUAAUAUCUUUGUCAUUUAAAUAUGACAAAACAUGUGACUUUUUAGUAUAUUUGUAUAGUAGGCAUGUGAUUUUAUUAGCUUUUGCAUAUUUUAUAUGUGUUAAAAAAAAAAAUUUUUGAUCCAACAUAUUUUUACUGAAAACGAAAAUAUUUUCUUUUUUUCUAAACUGAGAUAAUUAUUUCUAUACUCAUCUUGUUCAUAAAAUUAUUAGUUUAAAACUAAUCUCUUUUUCUUAUUAACUUGAAAAAUAAAAUGAUAAUAUCAGUAACUGAUGAAAAUAAAAUUCCACAUAAUUUAUUUAACAAAGCUAAAAUAAUAUUUAAUGAGAAGCUUUCUGCAAUUAGUAACAAUAAUUUAUUCUGAUCAAAUCUACUAUAUUUAUAUGUCCUUUUAGCAUUCAAAAUUGGAUAAAAAUAUCAGAUCUACCAAAAUUUUAUAUCUUUACAUAUAUCACACUCUCGGGUCCGGAUCUGAAAAUAACAAUCAUACCAAAAACAAAAAUUGUGAAAAUGUUUACAUAUCAAAUUACUUGUUCAUACAUUAUUUACACGUUUUUACAGUUAAUUAACUUUUUCACAUGCGACAAAAUGGCAUAUUGUCAUUUACUCGUAAGACUAGCCCAAAAGUAAGGCGGCCACUUCCAACAUUUUUAGCAAUGAAAAUCCAUUUGGCGCUCAAACCAAACGCUAUGAGCGGUAAGAUUCUCACCGUUAAUAAACGGACAUCUUGACCCAAGACUUUUUUAUUAAACAACGUGGUGCGAAGCUUUGAAGAGAUUCUGAUUUGAUGAGCCAUUAAACACUUGGAACAACCCGUUACUUAUAAUGUGGGCUUUGUAAUGGGGGUCCAUUGGUGAUUGAUUACUCCUACAUUCUCUUAUUGAAGAACUUCUAAAACUUUAUUCCAAAAGCAGAGCAAAAUAAAAGCUUUGACAAAAAGUAACGACCACUCUAGGCUUUCUUAUCACAUCACAAAUAAAAAAUGCAUUUUAUCAUGAUGAAACUGAUUCACGGGAGAAAAAACAACACAAGAAUGCAAAAAUAAAAAGGUCCAGAUUCUAUUCAUGACAGCAUAUAAAUAAACAGAUGGCAUAAAGGUCGUCAAUAUCAUGACAUAACAAGAGUAUUAAUUGAUUCUGAGAUGAUAAUCAUGAUAUCUUCAAAUCCAAGGGAAAAGAAACCAAAUGGUGAACUACAACACUUUGUGGGCAGUUUUCGAGCUUAGGAAGUUUCCCCAGCUCGUUGUGUCACGCCAUUCACUAAAAGCUUAGUAAAGGACUCUGGCGGGUGGACUUGUACUCUCAUUCCCUGAUGUAGUCAGAAAUACCUCAAGCUCUAGCUUCUCAAAUGUCAAGCUUGUACUGUCCAUGGUCUAUACAUGUUUUGUUGUGUUAUUAACAUCUAAUUUUUUUUUUGAAUUAUAAAGAAGUAUCCUGCCUUCGGAAACUAGCUAAAGCCGCAUGUUAACAGUCUACGUUUUCGGCCCACGUGUCGGUCUCAUGUCCAUAGUGAUACCAAAAUUUUAAUUUUCCAAUGGCCUGGACUCGAACCCUAGUGGUUUCACUGUAUUGGGUUUCGCCCUCAGGUUAAUCUAGGCCCGGGCAUUUUACCCGGACCCGAAGACCCGACCCGAAACCGAUCCGAAAAAAUCCGGUCCGGGUAGGAACCGACCCGAUCAAAUUACCCUAUCGGGUCUUGUUGCAGAGGACCCGCGGGUCUUGGACCCGAUCCGACCCAAACGCGAAACCCGAUGGGUACCCGAAUUAAUAAUGUAAAUUAAAUAAAAUGCAUCAAGGGAGAAUCGAAGACGGGUUAUUUGUCAAGAGAACAUGGGGGUCAACCACUAGGAGACAACAAAUUGUUAUUGUAUCUCGCAUAGUUUAGUAUAUAUACACAUUUUAAUAUAAUAAAAACACAAAUUUUGAAUAAAAUUUUGAAUAUUUUAGGAUAUAUAAAUAUUUUCAGAUAUUUUUUUGUAUUUUUAGGUCUUUUUUAGAUCAAACCCGAAUCGAACCCGACCCGAAACCGAACCGUAUCCGAACCGAUAAAUUCUAAUUACCCGAAUGGGUCUAACUAUCUAAGACCCGACCCGACCCGGACCCGGCACGAUCCGAACCGAUCCGGAACCGAGAAUUUGAAAUUACCCUAUCGGAUCCUAAACUCUUAGACCCGAAAGACCCGGACCCGAAAGGACCCGAUCCGAACCCGACCCGGCGACCCGAAUGCCCAGGCCUAGGUUAAUCACCAUUGAACCACAUGCCCCUGUUUAUUAACGUCUAAUUAUGUCUAUUGUCCACUGUUUUCAUGGAUGUCUAAAACACCAUGUUCAAAAAAUAAAAAUAACACUUUUAAUAUAAUAUAAAACAAUAAAAAUAAGACACUUUUUAAUGUGGUGAUCAACAUAUACAUAAACGUUUCGAUCUUUUCUUAGGAGACCCGAGACCGUAAGGUAAGUAAGUAGAAACGUCGAUGGCUGUAUAUAUAUGUUGAUCACCACAUUCUCUGCGACACGAACACUUAGUAACUUGUACGUCUGGAAUCUUAAAAGAAGCCCAAAGGACCAUAAUGUUUUUGUUGUUUUCUACAUAUGAAUGAUUAUAUGAAUGCACUUAUGUAUCAAUAUAUAUGCCUGUUUGACUGACGUAGUAUGGGUGAAGGACACAACACAUGUACACAUUGAGUAAUGACCAUUGCGUAGUGUUUGUCCUUUUAACAAAAUUUAGAUACUUUUUCGCAAGAGGAGCGUAAGGCAGAAUGAAAUGAGAGAAAUAUUUUAUUAAUCAAAUUAAGAAUAUUUUUUAAUAGCAAUAUUAUCAUAUUCAUUGACAAAAAAAUAUUAUAAUAUUUAAGACAACCUUACUUUAUAUAUCUCCCUAAUAUUUACACCACACAAAAAUAAAAUCUAACUCAAACCCAACAGACGGUCGAGUCCUCAAUGCAAGAGUUAUCGAGUAUAGUUUGGGAACAAACAAUACUUAGAUUCACCUCUAUGGUACUAUCAAUUUUCACCUCACCAUUGAUCACCAAUCAAAGUGCUAUAUACAAAUAAUAAAAAAUAUUAAUUUUUCCAAAAAAGUAAAAUAGCUUCGUUAACAUUAACACCAUCAGCAAAACAUUUAACUCUAAACCUUAAAUACUAAAUUUAAAAUAUAAACCCUAAACCUAAAACCUAAGCCUUAUAAACCCUAAACUUUAACGAAAUGAGUUAGCGCCGCCGACGUUAGAGUUUAGGUUUACAGUUUAGAAUUCAGUGUUUAGAAUUUUGUUAACGAUCGACGUUAAUGUCAGCAUUUUUUUAAUUAAUUCUACAUGGUACUUUGAUUGGUGAUAAGAGAUGAGAUAAAUUUGACAGUUUAUUACAAGGGUGAACCCAACCCUAACCAUCAGUUUCGAGAAAUUUUUCCAUUUUGAUUUCAGACGAAGUUAUAUUUUCCCUUAACAAACGUGUGUGUGUGUGUGUGUUUUUGUUGGAAAAAUAAAAAAGUAGCAUCUAAUCUAUUAAUUUAGGGUCCUAAUUUUUAUCUACUAUUUAAAAGUCUUAGCAUGACCAUUUGAUUAAUUAUUUAAUAUGACAUAAUAAUUAUUCCUAGUCUAACAAAUCUGUUGAAAAAAUAUAUAUUUAAAUUUUAUUUUUAAUUAUAACAAAUUUGAUGAGAAAAUAUCUACCCAAAUCUUAUUAAAAGUUUUAAGUAUUUUUUAAAAUCAUACAAUAAUUAAUUUUGUAAUUAGUAAUAUAAUAUGAUUAUACAUUACUAUUAAUUAUUUUUUUAUUAUAAAACAAAAAAAUAAAAUUAUUUCCUAUUUUUAUAAAUUUUAUAAUGUAUUAUAUAAAAUAGAAGUACUAUAUGAAUAAAUAAAUAAAACUAUAUAAAAUUGGUAAAUUAAACUAUUUUAUUUUAAAAUUCUUUCAUUUAAAUAAAUAAAAUAAACUAUCAUUUCUUUCAUUUAAAUAAAUAAAAUAAACUAUUAUUCACCGUUAAAAAGGGUUAAAAUUCAUAAAGUAUGUAUAUUUUAUACAAAGAAUAUUAUCAUAUGUUAAACUUUUAUAUCUACAACUAUAUAUUAUUUAAUUAAUUUGAAACUCACAACAAUAUAUUAUCUAAAAUGAUUAUAUACAAAAUAUAAUAGUCAUAGCAAACUUUUAGUUCAUGCGUUAUUUACAAAAUAGGAUAUCAGAAAAAAAUAAUAAUUCAAAAGAUAUUAAUCAAAAGUCUAUUUUAACUACAAAUUUAUUGAGAGUGGUCUUUUUUAUAUAUUUUAUGUUGUGGCACCUACUGAUAUCUCUAUGUUUUUCAUUACAAGUAUGGUUUAUUGCGUGUUUUUUUAUCAUUCCACAAUGGUGUCUAAAACAAAGUAAAAAAUAUAAAACAAAUGAUUAUAUAUUAAUAAUGAUGAAUAAAAAACCUAAACAAUAUAAUUAUAUACUUACACAAUAUAUAACACUAAAAAAUCAUAUAUUUAAAAUGUUUAUGAUAAUGUUAAAUGUAUACAUUUAUAAAAUAAAAAUAUAUCCGCACGAACGUGCAGGUCAAAUUCUAGUUUUGGAUAAACGGCAGCUGUUUACGGUUUUAGCAUUACCGAUAUAACUGUUAAGAUUAGGAAUCCGAUCUUAGUAGAUAAAAAGGUUUUUAUAAAGGUAAAAAAAAUAUCAGAUUUCUUAAGCUGUAAAGAUACAAAUCUAAGAAAUUGUAAAAUAUUCAUUCAUACAAUCAAUAUAUGUACAAACCAUAAACCAAAUAUUUAGCAACUGAGUUUCUCUCUAGUUCUUUUGAUUUCGACGAGAUUGUUUUACCUUUGUUCUCAACAUUUUACUAGCCUUAACAUUUUUCUUUAGCUUUGUAGUUGAAAAGUUUAAAAGACAUAUGUUGAUAUUGAAUGACUCUUUCAUUACACUCCCCUUAAAAUUUAAAAUUCAAAUAGCAUUAUUCAAACAAUCACCUUACAAUUACAUAAAGUUUUCUUUUUAACUUAGAUCAAUAACAAAAAAUAAAUCCUUCUUAAUCCAUGUUUCCCCAAUCGUAAAACAUCAGAAGAACCUAGAUCUUGAGAUCUCACCAUUUUUCACUGUAUCAAAAGAAACACAAAGAGAUCAAGCCAAGAGAGAAGUCUUUUUCUGUGGAGCAGGACACUUGAAGUCACGAGGUGGAGUCUUGCCACAGUCGACGAGAAGCUCAAGAGCAAUGGGAAUAAUGAGGUCGAUGUUGAGAAGCUUCGCUCUAAUGGUGGUGCAAAGACAGACCGCUGCGUCAAGACCCACUAAACCGCCAAGAACUGGGCAACAAGUUGCCUUUGCAUAGCUUUUUCCUAGUCCGAUGUGAAUCAAGCCGCCAAGCACGUCCACACACGCGCCUAGCUUCAGUGCGUCGAUGGAGCACGUCUCCGGUUCAGGCGUUGGUGCCGGAGGUGGAGGAGGACACGGAGUUGGUGGAGGAGGCGGUGGCGGACAUGGCGUCUCUGGGGUUGGAGUUGGCGGUGGUGGCGGGGUUACGACUGGUGGGGUUGGAGUUGGCGGUGGAGGAGAAGGCGUAGGAGAUGGAGUGUACGGAGGUGGUGGCUUGACGGUGGGCGGUUUUGGAGUGUAAGGUGGAGGGGAUGGAGUGUACGGAGCUGGAGGCUUGACGGUGGGCGGCUUUGGGGUGUGAUGAGGUGGCUUGACGGUGGGUGGUUUGGGAGUGUGAGGAGGUAGUUUUGGGGUGUGAUGAGGUGGCUUAACGGUGGGUGGUUUUGGAGUGUGAUGAGGUGGUUUUGGAGUGUGAUGAGGUGGUUUGACGGCGGGUGGUUUUGGAGUGUGUUGUGGUGGCUUGACAGUGGGUGGUUUAGGCGGUUUAAUGGGAUGUUUGGGAGGUUUAACGGGGUGUGGAGAUGAUUUUGGAGGGUCACUGCAGUCACAAGCGUAAGAGACGGCGCAGAAACCAAGGAGGAGAAGUAUCAAAAAGGAGAGGUUUUGUUUGUGAAGAAUCCCCAUCUUG